GAUGAACGCUGGCGGCGUGCCUAAUACAUGCAAGUCGAGCGAACAGACGAGGAGCUUUCUCCUCUGACGUUAGCGGCGGACGGGUGAGUAACACGUGGAUAACCUACUUAUAAGACUGGGAUAACUUCGGGAAACCGGAGCUAAUACCGCAUAAUAUAUUGUACCGCAUGGUUCAAUAGUGAAUGACGGUUUUGCUGUCACUUAUAGACGGAUCCGCGCCGCAUUAGCUAGUUGGUAAGGUAACGGCUUACCAAGGCAACGAUGCGUAGCCGACCUGAGAGGAUGAUCAGCCACACUGGAACUGAGACACGGUCCAGACUCCUACGGGAGGCAGCAGUAGGGAAUCUUCCGCAAUGGGCGAAAGCCUGACGGAGCAACGCCGCGUGAGUGAUGAAGGUCUUCGGAUCGUAAAGCUCUGUUAUUAGGGAAGAACAAAUGUGUAAGUAACUAUGCACGUCUUGACGGUACCUAAUCAGAAAGCAACGGCUAACUACGUG
rnacentral:rRNA from 1 species